rnacentral:lncRNA from 1 species
GCCCAGGCUAUUUAGCAUCCCAUUAAAAAUAUUCAAAAUAUAAAUCAAAAUUCAUGGGAAUAAGUAAUAUUCAAUUUAGAAUUUAUGGUAUUUUAAAAUAGGAUGAUUUCCUCAAAUGCGCAAUAAAUUUGGUUUUGUGGAAUUGCCCUCGCCGGCUUAUCGAGGCGGCGGCUUUAUCUGCACAGCCCACCAAAGCGGAGUCACUUUACAGAAUCUAAAUUCACAAAUCAGCUGUCGUCUUCACUUCACUGAUUCAUUGCUGAUGGGCCUUUCAUAAGACCUGCACGGGCUAACUUUGAAACUGCAGUCUUUCUGCUUCCACCUCCAGAAAACUGAGGUUAAGAUCUAUUCAUAACACAGACAGAGGAAAAUAAUAAAAGAAAAGAAAAAUGAAAAACUUA